UACAGAGGUCUCAAGCGUUGUUCGGAUUCAUUGGGCGUAAAGGGUGCGUAGGUGGCGGGGUAAGUCAGGUGUGAAAUUUCGGAGCUUAACUCCGAAACUGCAUUUGAUACUGCCUUGCUUGAGGACUGGAGAGGAGACUGGAAUUCACGGUGUAGCAGUGAAAUGCGUAGAGAUCGUGAGGAAGACCAGUGGCGAAGGCGGGUCUCUGGGUAGAUACUGACGCUGAGGUGCGAAAGCGUGGGGAGCAAACAGG
rnacentral:rRNA from 1 species